rnacentral:snRNA from 1 species
AUACUUACCUGGCAGGGGAGAUACCAUGAUCAAGAAGGUGGUUCACCCAGGGCGAGGCUCAGCCAUUGCACUCCGGCUGUGCUGACCCCUGUGAAUUCCCCAAAUGUGGGAAUCUGGACUGCAUAAUUUAUGGUAGUGGAGGACUGUGUCUGCGCUCUCCCCUG